GUUCUCCUCCUGGUCCGGUUCUGUCCCAUCAUGCCCCACAGUGAACCUGGAGAGGAAAAGGUGAACUGUCAGCCAAUCAGAGAGGAGAACAGCCGGACGGGUUGACACACAGAGGAGGCCGGUGACGGACGGGUCAUGCUGUGGUGGGCGGUCCCAGUCAUCGUCACUCAGACCCAGAUCUGAUAGCGGAUUGGCUCGCUGGCGAGUGGAGGACGAUGACUGGCUGUUGGUUGUCUUGGCGUUGCGCCACUCGUGGAAACUGUAGGGAGACGACUGAAAAGGUGGAGCUGCAAACAAACAGAAAUGUUUUAUCAAUGACUCAUAACUUGUAUCUGCAGGGUUCACCAAAUAAAACACUUUUAAUAACUUUA